ACAGUAAUGUGGUGGCUACCUGUUCUUAUUUACAGGUGUCCUUGCUGGUCAUGAUAACCGUGUCAGUUGCUUAGGUGUGACUGAUGAUGGUAUGGCAGUGGCAACAGGAUCAUGGGACAGCUUCCUCAAGAUCUGGAACUGAAAAGAGCAGCGGACUCCAUGACUGGAAGAAGUUUCCAACGGUUGAAAAUUAAAAACGAUAGCAUGUCCAAUCCAACCAUACUAACUUGGACCCCCAUCCUCCCCAACUUCAAAGGGCAAGAUCUUUUCCGUCUCCUGUUGCUGAAAUGAAGAGCACAAUUACCUUUCCAAGAAGAAUUUCUGUGUUGUAAGCAAAAUGAAAUUGUGCAUUCCUUUUGGGACCAUUUUUUUUUUGUCUUGAGAAUUUAAAAAUGAAACACUAUCAUGAAGCAUGACCAGAAAAUAAACUUGAGCAUAAUUGUGAAACAGUUAGCUUUCACUGUAGUUUCCAAGUUGAAGUUAAGGACUUUAUUCUCACACACUUGCAAAUUUUAAAGUCAUGUUUGUAGCAGGAUUUUUUUCAAGUUUCCUUUUUAAAUACAUUUCUUUAUGUAUUUAAUUGAGCAAAACAAGGGAGUCCUAGCCCAGAGCACCUGGGGGUUGUUAACGCUGUAAAUUUAGUCCCUAAUUUUUUUUAUUUUAUUUUCUAGUAUCACAGAUAAUUGUUGCACAAAACUUGGCAUAUAUAGGAUAAUGUUAAGCAGUAAGGUAACCAAGCACAUGCUGUAAAAGGUAAUGAAUGCUUGUUUAAAGAAUCCUUUCACCUUUUAUGGAUAACAAAUGCAAUCCUUGGUCCCUCCUGCCCCCUGCUCCCCCCCUUUCACCACACUGAUUUUUUUUUUAAGUCUUUUGGUUUUGUCCACUUGAAAGGGCAGUUUAUAUAUCCUAACACUAUCCUAUAAGUCUCAACAACCAGGAAUCUCUGUUUUCAAAAGAGACCUAUCCUACACUUGGGUAUUGAGUCAAUUCUUUGUGUAUGAAAUGAUGUACAAAUCAAUGUUUUGAAAAUAAUGAUCUUGAACUUUCUAAGUUAAACAAAAAAAAAACCUUUUUUGAUUGUUUGCCAUAUUGGGUGGGUUUACUCUUAGAAUCGCAUGCUGUAGAAAUGCUAAAAAGUGCAUAUUGGACUAAGUCCUUAGAUGUUUUUUCUUUGAAGAAAUAACCUGUUUAAAAACUGUAACCAUUGUCGCUGUAUUCAUUUAUUGUUGCUACUCUGUGCAUAAAUCUAUGAAGAACUCAAGUACAAAGCUAUGCACGUUUUGGAGUAGCGUGAUAAGUCACUUUUUUUUUUUAAAGAAACAGCCUGUUCAAACAAUCGCUGUCAAAGAUUCUGGGGUGUGGGAGGAGGGAACCUAGACCAUCUUCUUUCUAAAUCAGUUCCUCACAGCCAGUUCCUCUUGUAGGAUGAGUCCUUUGCAUCUGAUCAGAGUCAUUUUUGUAAUGAGCAGGUUUUCCUGGCUUUCUUUUCAAAUAAAAUGUUAAAAGCAGCAGUGUUUGGACAGCAGAUUGUUCUGUUAAACUUUCCUAUCUUCUCACUGUAUCCAGAAAUGCUCCUUCCUAGCAGCAGUAGUAGCUUUUCUCCAUUUUGUUUUUUCUGCAACAUUCUGUAAAAAAAUGUGCUGUAAUUGUGCGUUAGGCCUGGAUUUGGCAUAAAAGAUGAAUUCCCUCUUACUCUCUCUCAUGAACUACUCUGUAGAGCUUUCUCCACACCCUGUAUCCCUCUUCACCUUUUGUAUUUAAUUUUAAAGUCAGUGUACUUCAAGAAAGCUGGAUGCAAGAUAGAUACUAUAUUAAAAUGUAAUGUUAUUUAAGAUGUAAUAAAGCAGUUUGACAUGA